CUAUAUGUAGAAUUGGAUCGGUGCUUAGAAAGCAAUGGAGGAUGCCACCAAAAUGCAACAUGUAUUAAAACAGGGCCAGGUUUGGUUGCCUGUGCCUGCCUUCCUAGCUUCACUGGUGAUGGGAUUAAUAAGUGUGAAUAUACUCACCCUUGCUUGGAGAAUAACGGUGGCUGCAGUCCACUAGCACUGUGCCUUAGAAAAGAAAAUGGGGAUCGAAUAUGCCUUUGUAUAUUGGGGACUGGUGAUGGCUUCACAUGUCGUAGAACUGUGUGGCAGGUAAGA